rnacentral:rRNA from 1 species
AGCGAACGCUGGCGGCGUGCUUAACACAUGCAAGUCGAACGUGAAAUGUAGCAAUACAGAGUAAAGUGGCGUACGGGUGAGUAACACGUAGGUAAUCUACCUUAAAGCCUGGAAUAACCUGCCGAAAGGCGGGCUAAUACUAGAUAGAGCGAUGGAAACCGUAAUGGUUUUUUCGGGAAAGGGAGCCUGAUAAGGGCCCUCACUUUAAGGUGAGCCUGCGUCUGAUUAGCUAGUUGGUAAGGUAAUGGCUUACCAAGGCGAUGAUCAGUAGCUGGUCUGAGAGGAUGAUCAGCCACACUGGAACUGAAACACGGUCCAGACUCCUACGGGAGGCAGCAGUGGGGAAUCUUGCGCAAUGGACGAAAGUCUGACGCAGCCACGCCGCGUGAGUGAAGAAGGCCUUCGGGUUGUAAAGCUCUGUCGGACGGGACGAAAAUGUAGUGAGUUAAUAGCUCAUUGCACUGACGGUACCGUAAAAGGAAGCACCGGCUAACUUCGUGCCAGCCGCCGCGGUAA